rnacentral:rRNA from 1 species
AGCGAACGCUGGCGGCAGGCCUAAUACAUGCAAGUCGAACGGAUCCUUCGGGAUUAGUGGCGGACGGGUGAGUAACACGUGGGAACGUGCCCUUUGGUUCGGAACAACUCAGGGAAACUUGAGCUAAUACCGGAUAAGCCCUUCGGGGAAGGAUUAUCGCCAUUGGAACGGCCCGCGUCUGAUUAGCUAGUUGGUGGGGUAAAGGACCGUACCAAGGCGACGAUCAGUAGCUGGUCUGAGAGGAUGANCAGCCAGACUGGGACUGAGACACGGCCCAGACUCCUACGGGAGGCAGCAGCAAGGAA